ACCCUAGCUCAGCUGGUAGAGCAUGAGACUCUUAGUCUCAGGUUUGUGGGUUCUAAUCCCACAUUGGGCA